rnacentral:lncRNA from 1 species
GCUAAUGUAUUUUCUGUUUUGAUUAUCUAUAUAUACUCUGCUGUUAAGCAAUUCCACUAAUCAAACUUAAGCCAAGCCUUGGUAAUUAGUAAAAAUGAAUAUUUGGACAAAUUGCUAAAAUCAACUCAUUAUGCAUGGGGUGCAUGCUACAGUGCCCGAAAAUGGGCCUAAACACAUUCCAAAAAUGGUUUUUUAUCAAGUGCAAAUGGUAGAAAGUGUAGCAAAUGAUUAUUUU